GGUACGCUGUGAUGGAUGUAAAUUUUGGGUUCACACAGAGUAUGACAAGAUUAGCAACAAAGUUUAGAAGAAUAUGGAGAACAUUGAUUAUUUCUGCCCCAAUUGCAAGGCAAAGUUUAAUUUUGAACUAUCAGACACUGAAAAGAGGCAGCCACAAAUUAAAUCUAAUAACAACAAUGGGCCAUUCGUGCUACCGAACGAGAUAACUGUUGUGUUUUGGUGUGGAAGG